GUUGCAUACUGACCUAGGAUUUGGGCUGACUUAGUAAUUAAAACUUUGUGUGCUUUUGAAAUUCUUGGCAUUAAUGCAUUUGAAAUUAGAAUUUAUAAAUCAAUAAAAUAAAUUCGUUCGACUGCAGUUUGUGGGUAUCUGAGCCGGAAACCCUCACGAGACAAAACUCGUCCACUAGGGCCACUUAGGGGUUUAAAGCCUUAUUACAUACGGUAAAUGCAAUCGCGAUUCCUGC
rnacentral:lncRNA from 1 species